rnacentral:rRNA from 1 species
UACGUAGGUGGCAAGCGUUGUCCGGAUUUACUGGGCGUAAAGGAUGCGUAGGCGGAUAUUUAAGUGAGAUGUGAAAUACCCAGGCUUAACCUGGGAACUGCAUUUCAAACUGGAUAUCUGGAGUGCAGGAGAGGUAAGUGGAAUUCCUAGUGUAGCGGUGAAAUGCGUAGAGAUUAGGAAGAACACCAGUGGCGAAGGCGACUUACUGGACUGUAACUGACGCUGAGGCAUGAAAGCGUGGGGAGCAAACAGG